UACGUAGGGGGCGAGCGUUGUCCGGAAUUACUGGGCGUAAAGAGGGCGUAGGCGGCACUACAAGUCUCAUGUGAAAUACCCGGGCUUAACUUGGGGGUUGCAUGGGAAACUGUAGAGCUUGAGUACAGGAGAGGCAAGCGGAAUUCCUAGUGUAGCGGUGAAAUGCAUAGAUAUUAGGAGGAACACCAGUGGCGAAGGCGGCUUGCUGGACUGAAACUGACGCUGAGGCUCGAAAGCGUGGGGAGCAAACAGG
rnacentral:rRNA from 1 species